CCUAACACAUGCAAGUCGAGCGGUAGAGAGAAGCUUGCUUCUCUUGAGAGCGGCGGACGGGUGAGUAAUACCUAGGAAUCUGCCUGGUAGUGGGGGAUAACGUUCGGAAACGGACGCUAAUACCGCAUACGUCCUACGGGAGAAAGCAGGGGACCUUCGGGCCUUGCGCUAUCAGAUGAGCCUAGGUCGGAUUAGCCAGUUGGUGAGGUAAUGGCUCACCAAGGCUACGAUCCGUAACUGGUCUGAGAGGAUGAUCAGUCACACUGGAACUGAGACACGGUCCAGACUCCUACGGGAGGCAGCAGUGGGGAAUAUUGGACAAUGGGCGAAAGCCUGAUCCAGCCAUGCCGCGUGUGUGAAGAAGGUCUUCGGAUUGUAAAGCACUUUAAGUUGGGAGGAAGGGCAGUAAAUUAAUACUUUGCUGUUUUGACGUUACCGACAGAAUAAGCACCGGCUAACUCUGUGCCAGCAGCCGCGGUAAUACAGAGGGUGCAAGCGUUAAUCGGAAUUACUGGGCGUAAAGCGCGCGUAGGUGGUUUGUUAAGUUGAAUGUGAAAUCCCCGGGCUCAGCCUGGGAACUGCAUCCAAAACUGGCAAGCUAGAGUAUGGUAGAGGGUAGUGGAAUUUCCUGUGUAGCGGUGAAAUGCGUAGAUAUAGGAAGGAACACCAGUGGCGAAGGCGACUACCUGGACUGAUACUGACACUGAGGUGCGAAAGCGUG
rnacentral:rRNA from 1 species